CUAACAAGGUUUCCGUAGGUGAACCUGCGGAAGGAUCAUU
rnacentral:rRNA from 1 species